AUUCCAGCUCCAAUAGCGUAUAUUAAAGUUGCUGCAGUUAAAAAGCUCGUAGUUGAAUCUCGGGUGCAGGCUUGCGGUCCGUCUCGCGGCGGUCACUGCUCGUCCUGGCCUCCACGCCGGCGUACCGUCCCUUGGUGCUCUUGACUGAGUGUCUCGGGCGGCCGGAACGUUUACUUUGAAGAAAUUAGAGUGCUCAAAGCAGGCCUUGGCCGCCUGCAUAAUGGUGCAUGGAAUAAUGGAAUAGGACCUCGGUUCUAUUUUGUUGGUUUUCGGAGCUCGAGGUAAUGAUUAACAGGGACUGACGGGGGCAUUCGUAUUGCGGCGCUAGAGGUGAAAUUCUUAGACCGUCGCAAGACGAACUACAGCGAAAGCAUUUGCCAAGCAUGUUUUCAUUG
rnacentral:rRNA from 1 species